rnacentral:rRNA from 1 species
UACGUAGGGGGCAAGCGUUGUCCGGAAUCAUUGGGCGUAAAGCGCGCGUAGGCGGCCCUGUAAGUCCGCUGUGAAAGUCGGGGGCUCAACCCUCGGAUGCCGGUGGAUACUGUCGGGCUUGAGUACGGAAGAGGCGAGUGGAAUUCCUGGUGUAGCGGUGAAAUGCGCAGAUAUCAGGAGGAACACCAAUUGCGAAGGCAGCUCGCUGGGACGUUACUGACGCUGAGACGCGAAAGCGUGGGGAGCAAACAGG